rnacentral:rRNA from 1 species
CCUACGGGAGGCAGCAGUGGGGAAUAUUGGGCAAUGGAGGCAACUCUGACCCAGCAAUGCCGCGUGAGUGAUGAAGGUAAUUUUAUUGUAAAGCUCUUUUCUUUGGAACGAAUAAAUGACGGUACCAAAGGAAUCAGCCCCGGCUAACUACGUGACAGCAGCCGCGGUCAUACGUAGGGGGCAAGCGUUGUUCGGAAUGACUGGGCGUAAGGGGUGUGUAGGUGGUUUGAUAAGUUAGAUGUGUAAUACCCAGGGCUUAACUCGGGUGCUGCAUCUAAAACUGUUAGACUUGAGUACUGGAGAGGAUAGUGGAAUUCCUAGUGUAGCGGUGGAAUGCGUAGAUAUUAGGAGGAACAUCAGUGGCGAAGGCGACUAUCUGGACAGCAACUGACACUGAGGCACGAAAGCGUGGGGAGCAAACAGGAUUAGAUACCCCUGUAGUC